AUGGCAAGAAAUACAGAGAAAGCAGUGCAUAGCACAGCAGAGCAAAGCAAGGCAAAUAGCAGCCAAAGCCACGAGAAUCAAGAAGUCAGUGAAGAGCAGGAAAGGAAUGGAGGAAUCUGUCCAGAGCUGUGCCCCUGCUUGCCACAGGAGCUGCGCGGGAGGAGAAGAACGUGGGCCAAAAGGUAAGAGGAGCUCCUUUGGGUUCUGGGCUUGAAGCAAAGCUGAGAAGCCAUGCCCGGGAGGAGGUGUGGGUAGCUACAGGCCACCUUGCUAUCUCCCCAAGAGAUGAGGUGUGUGGGCUAGGCACCGGGCAGGAGUGCUGGCCAGAAGCAAGCAUCUCUGUGGAGGAAGGCAAAGGGCGGAGGAGGUUCAAGGGUAGCUACCGGGCAUGGCCUUGCUCAGCAAGGGGAGGAAAAGCCUGAAGGGCACGAGAAGGGGAUAGAGAAGGGCAGGCAGUAGGCGUGAAGCUGCGAGCAGAGUAGAGAGCAACUUGGCAGAGCAGCAAGCAGAGUAGGCAAGUGUUGAGGUUUGGCGUGAGUAGCAGCAAAAGCCCAGAGCAUCAAGAAGCAGGAAGUGAGGAGAAGGUAAGUGAAGGGCAGGCAAGGUAAUGGGAGGCAAAGGCAAGGGGAAAGGGGGGGGUAAGGGAGAAAGAAGGGAUGGGGAUGGGAGGGGAUGGUGAAGAGCAGAGCGGAGGGAAGGGCUGAGGGGAGGGCUGAAGGCAAACCUAUGAUGAAAAAAGAAAGAAAAAAUAAGAACAAAAAAUAUGAAAAAAGAGAAAAAAGAAAAGAAAAAUAAGAAAAAGAGAAAAAAUGAAAAAAAAAGAAAAAAUGAACAAAAAGGAAAAAAAGAAAAAGAAAAAAAAGAAAAAAAAAAAAAAAAGAAAAAAAAGAAAAAAGAAAAAAAAUGAAAAAAAAGAGAAAAAAGAAAAGAAAAGAAAAAAAAAGAAAAGAAAAAAGAAAAAAAAGAAAAAGAAAAAAAAACAGUAGAUGAAAAAGAAAAAACAAAGGAAAAACGAAUAAUGACAAGAGAAGAAAGGUAAAGAGAAAAGAAGAAAAAGCCAAGUCAAAAAGUAAAGAAUAACUCGAAGGAAGGAGUGGAUGGCAAGAAAUACAGAGAAAGCAGUGCAUAGCACAGCAGAGCAAAGCAAGGCAAAAUAGCAGCCAAAGCCACGAGAAUCAAGAAGUCAGUGAAGAGCAGGAAAGGUAAGUUUCCCUUAAAGCAAGGGGGAAUGGUAGUGGAAGGGAGAAAAGAGGGGAGGGGAGGGGAAGU
rnacentral:lncRNA from 7 species